rnacentral:rRNA from 1 species
UACGUAGGUGGCAAGCGUUGUCCGGAUUUAUUGGGUUUAAAGGGUGCGUAGGCGGUCUAUUAAGUCAGUGGUGAAAUAUCGCAGCUUAACUGUGAGGGUGCCAUUGAUACUGAUGGACUUGAGUGAAGUCGAAGUAGGCGGAAUUGACGGUGUAGCGGUGAAAUGCUUAGAUAUCGUCAAGAACACCGAUAGUGAAGACAGCUUACUAGGCUUAUACUGACGCUGAGGCACGAAAGUGUGGGGAUCAAAACAGG